GCUGGGGGGGCGGUGGAGCCCGGGGCCGGCCUGCUCUCCGGGGCCGAGGUGACACCGUGGGCUGCGGGCGCGGUGGAGCCCGGGGCCGGCCUGCUCUCCGGGGCCGAGGUGACACCGUGGGCUGGGGGGGCGGUGGAGCCCGGGGCGGGCCUGGUGUCCGGGGCCGAGGUGACACCGUGGGCUGGGGGGGCGGUGGAGCCCGGGGCCGGCCUGGUGUCCGGGGCCGAGGUGACACCGUGGGCUUGGGGGGCGGUGGAGCCCGGGGCCGGCCUGGUGUCCGGGGCCGAGGUGACACCGUGGGCU
rnacentral:lncRNA from 1 species